rnacentral:rRNA from 1 species
AUUGAACGCUGGCGGCAUGCCUUACACAUGCAAGUCGAACGGCAGCACGGGUGCUUGCACCUGGUGGCGAGUGGCGAACGGGUGAGUAAUACAUCGGAACGUACCUUAUCGUGGGGGAUAACGCAGCGAAAGCUGUGCUAAUACCGCAUACGUCCAGAGGGGGAAAGCGGGGGAUCGCAAGACCUCGCGCGAUUAGAGCGGCCGAUGCCUGAUUAGCUAGUUGGUGGGGUAAAAGCCCACCAAGGCGACGAUCAGUAGCUGGUCUGAGAGGAAGAGAAGAGACACUGGGAUUUAGACACGGCCCAGACGCCUACGGGAGGCAGCGGGGGGGAAUUUUGGACAAUGGGGGCAACCCUGAUCCAGCAAUGCCGCGUGAGUGUAGAAGGCCUUCGGGUUGUAAGGCUCUUUUGUCAGAGAAGAAACACCGGCUCUAACACUGUCCGGGAAUGACGGUACCUGAAGAAUAAGCACCGGCUAACUACGUGCCAGCAGCCGCCGCCG